UCGCGGCUUAUCACCGGCAGUCCCCUUAGAGUGCCCAACUGAAUGAUGGCAACUAAAGACGAGGGUUGCGCUCGUCGCGGGACUUAACCCAACAUCUCACGACACGAGCUGACGACAGCAAUGCAGCACCUGUCACUCAUCCAGCCGAACUGAAGGAAACCAUCUCUGGAAUCCGCGAUGAGGAUGUCAAACGCUGGUAAGGUUCUUCGCGUUGCAUCGAAUUAAGCCACAUGCUCCGCCGCUUGUGCGGGCCCCCGUCAAUUCCUUUGAGUUUUAGCCUUGCGGCCGUACUCCCCAGGCGGGGUGCUUAACGCGUUAGCUACGACGCCUCCGGGGUCAAUACCAGAAACAUCUAGCACCCAUCGUUUACGGCGUGGACUAC
rnacentral:misc_RNA from 1 species